UACGGAGGGUGCGAGCGUUGUCCGGAAUCACUGGGCGUAAGGGCGCGUAGGUGGCCUGUGGAAGUCUGCGGUGAAGCCCGGACGCUCAACGCCGGGUCGGCCGUGGAUACUCUCGGGCUUGAGCUUACUAGAGGCAGAUGGAAUUCCGGGUGUAGCGGUGGAAUGCGUAGAGAUCCGGAAGAACACCGGUGGCGAAGGCGGUCUGCUGGGGUAAUGCUGACGACUGAUGCGCGACAGCGUGGGGAGCAACAGG
rnacentral:rRNA from 1 species